rnacentral:rRNA from 1 species
UGGACUUCGGUCUGCGAGUAAAGUGGCGCACGGGUGAGUAACACGUGGAUAAUCUACCCGACAACUUGGGAUAACAUUUCGAAAGGGAUGCUAAUACCAAAUAAGCCCACAACGUCUUCGGACGACGCGGGAAAAGGUGGGGACCUUCGGGCCUGCCAUUGUCGGAUGAGUCCGCGUCCCAUUAGCUAGUUGGUAGGGUAAUGGCCUACCAAGGCUACGAUGGGUAGCUGGUCUGAGAGGAUGAUCAGCCACACUGGAACUGAGACACGGUCCAGACUCC